rnacentral:rRNA from 1 species
GUUAAGGUCCCUAAAUAUAUGCUAAGUGGAAAACGUUGUGAAGGUGCAUAGACAACUAGGAGGUUGGCUCAGAAGCAGCCACCCUUUAAAGAGUGCGUAAUAGCUCACUAGUCGAGUGCUCUUGCGCGGAUAAUGUACCGGGGCUAAGCAUAUUACCGAAACUGUGGAUGCGUAAGCAUGGUAGGAUAGCGUAAUUAACGCGAUGAAGGAUGACCGUAAGGACAUGUUGGAGCGUUAACUAGUGAGAAUUCCGGUAUGAGUAGCGAAAGAUAGGUGAGAAUCCUAUCCACCGAAUGAGUAAGGUUUCCCCCGGAAGGCUCGUCCGCGGGGGGUUAGUCGGGACCUAAGGCGAGGCUGAAAAGCGUAGUCGAUGGACAACAGGUUGAUAUUCCUGUACCGAUAUUUAAUUGCCGAAGGAAGGACGCAGAAGGAUAACACAGGCCACUAUUGGAUGUGGUUUUAAACAGUUAGUCUUCAUAAGAGUCAAAUGCUUUUAUGUUUAAGGAUAAGCUGUGAAUGUACCAAGUUUACUUGGAAAUUGUGUGAUUUCACGCUGCUGAAAAAAGUUUCGUAGGAAGAAAAUAUUGCCCGUACCGCAAACCGACACAGGUACUCAAGUGGAGAACACUAAGGUGAGCGAGUGAACUAUUGUUAAGGAACUCUGCAAAAUGAGUCCGUAACUUCGGAAGAAGGACUGCUGGUUUUAUACCAGCCGCAGCAAAUAGGCCCAAACAACUGUUUAUCAAAAACACAGGUUUCUGCAAAAUCGUAAGAUGAAGUAUAGGGGCUGACGCCUGCCCAGUGCUGGAAGGUUAAAAGGAGGACUUAGCUUCGGCGAAGGUCUUAAUUGAAGCCCCAGUGAACGGCGGCCGUAACUAUAACGGUCCUAAGGUAGCGAAAUUCCUUGUCGGGUAAGUUCCGACCCGCAUGAAAGGCGUAAUGAUUUGGGCGCUGUCUCAACAAUAGACUCGGUGAAAUUUAAAUUCCAGUGAAGAUGCUGGGUACCCGCGACAGGACGGAAAGACCCCGUGGAGCUUUACUGUAGCUUGAUAUUGAAUGUUUGUGCUGCAUGUGCAGGAUAGGUAGGAGACUUUGAAGUCGGAACGCUAGUUUCGAUUGAGUCACCCUUGAGAUACUACCUCUGUUGUAUGAACGUUCUAACUCUGAUCAGUUAUCCUGAUCGAAGACAGUGUCUGGCAGGCAGUUUGACUGGGGCGGUCGCCUCCUAAAAGAUAACGGAGGCGCUCAAAGGUUUGCUCAGAAUGGUUGGAAAUCAUUCGUAGCGUGUAAAGGCAUAAGCAAGCUUGACUGUGAGACUGACAAGUCGAGCAGGUACGAAAGUAGGACUUAGUGAUCCGGUGGUUCCGUAUGG